GAUGAACGCUAGCUACAGGCUUAACACAUGCAAGUCGAGGGGAAACGAUAUUGGAAGCUUGCUUCCGAUAGGCGUCGGCCGGCGCACGGGUGAGUAACGCGUAUCCAACCUGCCCACCACUUGGGGAUAACCUUGCGAAAGUAAGACUAAUACCCAAUGAUAUUUCAAGAAGACAUCUGAAUGAGAUUAAAGAUUUAUCGGUGAUGGAUGGGGAUGCGUCUGAUUAGCUUGGUGGCGGGGUAACGGCCCACCAAGGCGACGAUCAGUAGGGGUUCUGAGAGGAAUGUCCCCCACAUUGGAACUGAGACACGGUCCAAACUCCUACGGGAGGCAGCAGUGAGGAAUAUUGGUCAAUGGGCGAGAGCCUGAACCAGCCAAGUAGCGUGCAGGAUGACGGCCCUAUGGGUUGUAAACUGCUUUUAUAAGGGAAUAAAGUGAGCCUCGUGAGGCUUUUUGCAUGUACCUUAUGAAUAAGGACCGGCUAAUUCCGUGCCAGCAGCCGCCGCCG
rnacentral:rRNA from 1 species